AUCUCUUCUUGGCCUUUUGGCUAAGAUCAAGUGUAGUAUCUGUUCUUAUCAAUUUAAUAAAGGCUUUCUUUUGUAAAUGUAUAAUUCUGCAAUGUUUGUUAAAAUUACUUUGCUACUUUUCAUGUGUCUAAAUCACACACACAAAAAGCUUUCAAGUGAUUUUAACAAACACUGCAGGGUUAUAAAUU